UACGAAGGGGGCGAGCGUUGUUCGGAUUUACUGGGCGUAAAGGGCGCGCAGGCGGCUCAUUUUGUCAGGCGUGAAAGCCCCGGGCUUAACCUGGGAACUGCGUUUGAUACGGAUGGGCUAGAGUUCGGGAGAGGAGAGUGGAAUUCCCAGUGUAAAGGUGAAAUUCGUAGAUAUUGGGAAGAACACCGGUGGCGAAGGCGGCUCUCUGGACCGAGACUGACGCUGAGGCGCGAAAGCGUGGGGAGCAAACAGG
rnacentral:rRNA from 1 species